AUUGAACGCUGGCGGAAUGCUUUACACAUGCAAGUCGAACGGCAGCACGGACUUCGGUCUGGUGGCGAGUGGCGAACGGGUGAGUAACAUAUCGGAACGUAUCCAAUAAUGGGGGAUAACUAAUCGAAAGGUUGGCUAAUACCGCAUACGCCCUACGGGGGAAAGCUAGGGAUCUUCGGACCUGGCGUUAAUGGAGCGGCCGAUAUCUGAUUAGCUAGUUGGUGGGGUAAAGGCCCACCAAGGCGACGAUCAGUAGCUGGUCUGAGAGGACGACCAGCCACACUGGAACUGAGACACGGUCCAGACUCCUACGGGAGGCAGCAGUGGGGAAUUUUGGACAAUGGGCGCAAGCCUGAUCCAGCCAUUCCGCGUGAGUGAAGAAGGCCUUCGGGUUGUAAAGCUCUUUCGCAAGGGAAGAAAACUUAUCCUCUAACAUAGGAUGAGGUUGACGGUAC
rnacentral:rRNA from 1 species